rnacentral:rRNA from 1 species
ACGGGUGAGUAACACGUGGAUAACCUACCUAUAAGACUGGGAUAACUUCGGGAAACCGGAGCUAAUACCUGAUAACAUAUUGAACCGCAUGGUUCAAUAGUGAAAGGCGGCUUUGCUGUCACUUAUAGAUGGAUCCGCGCCGUAUUAGCUAGUUGGUAAGGUAACGGCUUACCAAGGCAACGAUACGUAGCCGACCUGAGAGGGUGAUCGGCCACACUGGAACUGAGACACGGUCCAGACUCCUACGGGAGGCAGCAGUAGGGAAUCUUCCGCAAUGGGCGAAAGCCUGACGGAGCAACGCCGCGUGAGUGAUGAAGGUCUUCGGAUCGUAAAACUCUGUUAUCAGGGAAGAACAAAUGUGUAAGUAACUGUGCACAUCUUGACGGUACCUGAUCAGAAAGCCACGGCUAACUACGUGCCAGCAGCCGCGGUAAUACGUAGGUGGCAAGCGUUAUCCGGAAUUAUUGGGCGUAAAGCGCGCGUAGGCGGUUUUUUAAGUCUGAUGUGAAAGCCCACGGCUCAACCGUGGAGGGUCAUUGGAAACUGGAAAACUUGAGUGCAGAAGAGGAAAGUGGAAUUC